AAGUCGUAACAAGGUUUCCGUAGGUGAACCUGCGGAAGGAUCAUUAUCGUACGACGGAGGUGCGAGGGCUGUCGCUGACCUUCAGGAGGUCGUGCACGCCCGAGCCCUCUCACAAUCCAUCUCACCCUUUGUGCAUCGCCGCGUGGGUCCCCUUUGCCGGAGGGCUCGCGUCUUUUACAUAAAACUCGAUACAGUGUAGAAUGUUUAUUUUUGCGGUCACACGCGAUCAAUACAACUUUCAACAACGGAUCUCUUGGCUCUC
rnacentral:misc_RNA from 1 species